GCCCAAUGUCUACUCCCUCCCUCCGACCCCUCCAACUCAAAACCGCAAGCUGCGCCCGCCUCCUUAAAGACCUCCAGUUCUACCAACUCGAGGAAACUCGACAGCGAGAAAAAAUAGCUAAAAUGAACCAAAACGGCGACGAUCCUUACCUCAUCAAAAAACAGGAAGAGGUUCUCGCCGAAACUCUCCAAGUCAUCCCAAACACGCACAAUCGCCUCCGAGCCGCUCACCGCGAGCUCCGCUCACUGCUCCACCCAAAGCUCGAUGACGAAGCACUGGCCCACACCCCCGAAUGGAAAGAGGCCCUCGACAUCGACGCCAAAAUCGAUAAAUUAAUUUAUUAAAAACCUUUGCUUUGACGAACUCUUUUGUGUGCCUGUAACAAUUCGAGAGACCGCUCUCUAGUUCUGCGCGAAAAGGGCAGAGCCACCACCUCGGACCUCUCCACCUGUAUAGCGCUCUCUUCGCACCUCUUAAUUUCCUCUCUUAUCGUGUUCGCGGCCGCCGCAUUCACCAAACACCCCCUCUUCGCGUAAUUCUCCGCUCUCAACGCCCAAAGGUUCAGCAAGCCCUCCUUCCUACCUCGGCCACCCUCCUCGCUCUGAAACACGUCAAUCGCUCUCCU